UGUCGGUUCACCGAAUCCGGAGGGUAGGGUUCUUUAGGAUCCUUACCAACGGUGAUGGUUUCUUACCUCCUAAUUUAAUUUCGUUUCUUUGUGCCUUAUGUAGCUUUUGAUCUUCAUAGUCAAGCCCUUGAAACUAAAGACAGAGAUUGCAAGAUUACAAAGGUUCUCAACUUACCAGACUCAGAACGAAACUUCCAGGUAGAUCCUAUUCUUCAAGAAGCCAGCCUUUACUCUCAAGCCUCAGAAUCCAUCAUGUCUUCGGGUUCAGGAUCCCAGCCUACCGGUCGCUUUAGUCUCGAUCACUUACUCAAACUUGCUCAAGAAAACCUCCGGUAAAACAAGAAAAUCCUACUCCUUCAAUCAUCAAGUCUAGGAUUCUUCCCCUGUGCUCCAAAGCUACCUCAAGCAAAAAAACGCAAGGCUCCUGAGGUGAUGGAUCUUGAAGCUUUCGACAACCUGGGCUUGGUAGAAAUAACAAAAAAGCUUCAAACCGUCCAAAGUGUGGGUUUUCCAAGAUCCCUGCCAAUCAUGACGAGCAGUUGGUCGAGCAUGCCUAGAAGAUCAUUGACAUGGAGCUGCUUGCUGAGAACAGGGCAGAGCAAUCCGAGACCCUCCGCCUCGAACUGGAAUCUUCUAGAAAGGAAUGCUAGGAUCUUAAAGCAUAUCACCAGGAGCAGCAUAGGGAGCUUGAAGCUGAAGCAAAGAAAUCUGUUACCCUUAAUAUCUUUAGUCUAGGAUUCCAAUGUACGAGGAAGCUAAGGCCGAACGAUUCUAGGUGAAGGCUUGGGACAAAAAUAAGUGGAAGGCAGUGGUUGCAAGGCUAGGAGGUCAAGACGAGGUUCCUAAAUAGGAAGCCGAUAAGGUCAAGGAGGUUGAGGUGGAGAAGGCUGAUGAGGAUCCAAGGAGCAAGGUUCUAAGUGGAAAUAGAAAGAAGGAGUAAUCAACAAUGGGGCGAUGAUGGAUAUUCUUGCCUAGGCCGGAGCCCUAUUUUUUAAAGGUUUGUGGUAGCGAUGAUGUGGUUAUGUAACCCCCUUAAACAAUUUACCUUUCCUUGUUUCUUUUGCAUGCUCCCCGGAAUGGGGUUUUAGACAAUGUUACUUGAUAAUCCUGGAUGGAUGGACCCCGGUUUUGGGGGAAACUCAGGAUCGUCCUAGGUUGGUUUUUGACAAUGGUGGUGUAAGUGGAUGGGUUCUAGUUUAGGAUGAAGCUUGGCCCGCCUCUUUUAACUUCUUGCUAUGGUAAAUAAUAUCCAGUUUUAUAUCC